UUCAGUGAAGCGGAAAUUAGUUAAUAGAGUUUUUACCAUACAAUCUUUUGUCAAUUUACAGGUUGGUUUGCCAAAUGCUUUGCAUGCAGGGGCUGCUCCAGUGUGGCUUCCAUAUACAGCCCUUGAUAAACUGCUGUUAGAACUGAGAGAAGUGCAGCAGGACAUACACUUUGCAAAGUUGUCGGCGGAGUUGAACGAUCGCCUAAAGAGGUACAACCAGGAACUUGAGUGUGUUUCGCAGAAUCGCAUUAUCUUGCUCCAAGGAUGAUUGAGAAGAACUACAAGAGUGAAGUUUUAAGAUAAAUAGUUCCAGCCAAAGUUGUAAUAGAAGAGCUUUUGUGUAUGGAUUAAGCUAAUAAAUAAAUAUUUUCCUUAAUCUUUUGCAAAUGGUAUGGAAUCAGAGUUGCAUUUACAAUAUGUCAGUGUGAUAAUGUUAUAUUUUUUAGGAUUAUAAGGCCAGCAUUCAACUUUUGUUAUUUUUUAAUAAAGAUACUUGUAUACCA